AUGGGCGGCAUGCUAUAAUGCAGUCGAGCGGACAGAUGGGAGCUUGCUCCCUGAUGUUAGCGGCGGACGGGUGAGUAACACGUGGGUAACCUGCCUGUAAGACUGGGAUAACUCCGGGAAACCGGGGCUAAUACCGGAUGGUUGUUUGAACCGCAUGGUUCAGACAUAAAAGGUGGCUUCGGCUACCACUUACAGAUGGACCCGCGGCGCAUUAGCUAGUUGGUGAGGUAACGGCUCACCAAGGCGACGAUGCGUAGCCGACCUGAGAGGGUGAUCGGCCACACUGGGACUGAGACACGGCCCAGACUCCUACGGGAGGCAGCAGUAGGGAAUCUUCCGCAAUGGACGAAAGUCUGACGGAGCAACGCCGCGUGAGUGAUGAAGGUUUUCGGAUCGUAAAGCUCUGUUGUUAGGGAAGAACAAGUGCCGUUCAAAUAGGGCGGCACCUUGACGGUACCUAACCAGAAAGCCACGGCUAACUACGUGCCAGCAGCCGCGGUAAUACGUAGGUGGCAAGCGUUGUCCGGAAUUAUUGGGCGUAAAGGGCUCGCAGGCGGUUUCUUAAGUCUGAUGUGAAAGCCCCCGGCUCAACCGGGGAGGGUCAUUGGAAACUGGGGAACUUGAGUGCAGAAGAGGAGAGUGGAAUUCCACGUGUAGCGGUGAAAUGCGUAGAGAUGUGGAGGAACACCAGUGGCGAAGGCGACUCUCUGGUCUGUAACUGACGCUGAGGAGCGAAAGCGUGGGGAGCGAACAGGAUUAGAUACCCUGGUAGUCCACGCCGUAAACGAUGAGUGCUAAGUGUUAGGGGGUUUCCGCCCCUUAGUGCUGCAGCUAACGCAUUAAGCACUCCGCCUGGGGAGUACGGUCGCAAGACUGAAACUCAAAGGAAUUGACGGGGGCCCGCACAAGCGGUGGAGCAUGUGGUUUAAUUCGAAGCAACGCGAAGAACCUUA
rnacentral:rRNA from 1 species